CCCUUCCCCCGCUUGCACACCCAUGAACCCCUUCUCUCACUCUCUCAAAAUCAGUAAAUAAACAUUAAAGAAGAAGAAGGAGGAGGAGGAGGAGGGGAGGGGCAGGGGAGGAAAGGAAUAAAAGGAGAGGGAGAAAAAAAGAAGAAGGAGAGGAAAAAGAAGAAACUGAGGUUGGCUUUAUGGAGCCAGUAAAGGCCCUCGAAAAAAUCUCCUCGAAUUUUUCUUACAGGGUUCCCAGUCUUACCAAUUGAGUAAGAAAGGUCAUACCUGGCAGCCCCAGGAAUAUCAAGCUAUUUCCAAACUUCAAGAAAUAAAAAAUUCACCCAAAUCUAUAGGUAUUUCACGUGACAUCUAGCAAAUCACUGGGUUGGCUUCCUAUCCUCAAGAGGCUUUUAAAAGUCCAAUCUAAGAGUCCUUGUAAGAAGUUUUAGCAAAAGAGACUUUUAAAAAGUCUGGUCAAUCAUAUUUUUGUUGCACUUGUGUAAAUAAUAAAACCAAGUUUAAUAAUACUAGACUAAUAUGCAAAUUAGUCUGUGAUUAUUUUUUCUAAAAAUUGGAGUAAUUGUGAACAGAAAAAUUAUCUUGCAGUAAAAAACUAUUACACACCCUUGUGAAUAUCAGAUUCUUGUCCUGUUCAUUGUCUUUGAGAUUUUGCUACUACCUGUAAACUGGUCUAGACUUUGAAUUUCUCUAGGUUCCCAAAUAUCUGUUUUUGACUCUCCAACUUUAUCCCACUCUUCUUUUUUUUUUUUAUUAUUUGUUAAAAUGUUAAAUUAUUAUUUUGAGAGAGAGAGAGAGAGCUGAUGUGAGUGGGGGAGGGGCAGAGAGAGGGAGACAGAAUCCAAAGCAGGCUCCAGGCUCUGAGCUAUCAGCGCCGAGCCCAAUGCAGGGCUCAAACUCAUGAACCAUGAGAUCAUGACCUGAGCCAAAGCUGGAUGCUUCACCGACUGAGCCACCCAGGCGCCCCCGCUCCUACUCUUCUGACUUGGAAUCACUAAGAAGAAAGACUGCCCUUGAACCUCAUAGAAAGGGACCAUACCAGGUCCUCCUCACUACAAAGACAAUAGCCAGAUUUCAGGGCCCUGAAUCUUGGGUCCACAUCUCCUAAUUAAAAAGGCCCCUGAGGUUCUUGAGUGGCUCAGUCGGUGAAGUGUCCGACUUCGGCUCAGGCCAUGAUCUCGCGGUUGGGAAGUUCAAGUCCCGCGCAGGGCUCUGUGCUGGCAACUUGGAGCUUGGAGCCUACUUCACAUUCUGUGUCUUCCUCUCUCUGCCCCUCCACCACUUGUGCUCUGUCUCUCAAAAAUUAAAAAACAAACAAACAAAAAAACAUUGAAAAGAAUUUAAAAGGGCCCUUGCAGACUCUUGGACCUGCACGCCAGCUAAAGAUCUAAGAUUAAAAUUGACUAGAGAGGUUUCUCAACAGAAGCAGAUGGCAUCUUGAGGUGGACGACUCUCCUAAAAUCAGUGAUCAAGAUCUUCAUCUCCAAGCAAUAUGAAAUCUUUUAUUCCUUUUGCUUUUUUGAUACUUGCUUUUUCUCUGCUAACGUAUGGCAAAACUAUGCUUCUCAAUUCUGGCAACUAUCACAGAAGCUAGCACCAAGGCCAUAGAUGCACAACAAAAGUCCCUAGGGUUUCUUGCUAAGAUGCUUUUAGAUAAUAAAAUUGCUUUAAAUUACUUAUUAGCUGAACAAGGAGGAGUCUCUGCUUUAGCAAAUACCUCAUACUGUACUUGGAUCAACACCUCUGGUACUAUAGCAAAUACAAGAAAUUAACAAGCCACUAAAAUAGGCUAAAGUAGGUUGAUACCUCUGUAGGUAGGUACAUUCUUUAAUUUAUUUGAUAACUGGCUUGGUUCAUGGGGGCCCUCGCUAAAGGAUAUACUUCAGUCUCUUAGUAAUAUCCUCCUCAUAGCCAUCACUGUAGUCUCCAUGGUGCUCUGUAUUCUCUCAAGAAUCUCAAAUACAUGUUUGGAGACAUCAGCAAUAUAUCAAAUGGUCUCACUGUGGUUGGGUAAAGAUAAACAAAUGACAAAGAAGUAAAGAGCAGAAACAAUCCUUCCACAAAUCUGAUAGCAUAACUUAUCACAAGUUUCAUGGGUUUCUCACAACAAGACAAGAACAAUUAAAACAUGACAGUGACCAAGAGUGGCACUAAUACCAGAUUUGGGGUCACCCUUAAGGUGAGAAUUGAUAAAAAAAUCAAACAAGGAGACCAUUAGACUGAGGUAGCUCUAAUGCCUUGGUAGCCUCAUAAGGAAGCCAAAAUCUAAGUCAGAGUCAAUUCCUGUAAUGCCUCAAUGUUUUUCUGGUAAGAAAAACAAUUAAUCACCAGCAGCCAACUGGGCUUUCCCAAAUAACGCAAACUGCUUAAGGUAUAGCCAAUCAAAUAACGUCCUUGCUUUGCUACCAAUCUUUUCUAUAAAAGUGUUGUCCUUAGCUCCUGUUGAUGGAGUCCUCCUAACCAGUUCCAAUUUAGUGCUACUCAGUCCAAAGCAAUGUUUCCUCAUAUAAACUCUUUAAAAAUGUUAAUAUGCCUCAAUUUCUCUUUUUUUUAAGUUUAUUUCUUUUGAAAGACAGAGAGUGUGCACGCAGAGGAGGGGCAGAGAGAGAGGCAGAGAAUCUCAAGCAGGCUCCACACCAUCAGUACGGAGCCAUAUGCGGGGCUCAAACUCAUGAACUGUGAGAUCAUGACCUGAGCCGAAAUCAAGGGUCAGCUGCUUAGCUGACUGAGCCACCCAGGUGCCCCAAGUCACAACUUAUCUUUUAACAGUAGCAAGUGUUGGUUGUAUUAGAGGGAUAUAAAACCAUGGAAACCAUUAUACACUAUUGCUCGAAAUACACUAUUUGAAUGACAAAUCUGGUAUUACUUGGAAAACAGUAUGAAAUCUCAAUUUGGACAUGUAAAAAUAAAAAUCAGAAUUGGUCCUUUCCAUCCAAGAUAGCUGAAGCCAGCAAAGGGCAUAGGUUCUAUAAAAACAUAAUUAAGGUAUAGGCUGAAUAUAAAAAGUGUCACGAGAGAAAAGGACUACCAACCUGGCUUAGGUUUAGAGAAUAUUCGUUUAUUUAUUCAACAACUAUUAACUAAGCGCCUACUAUAUGCUAAAUCCUGUUCUGAGUACUUUGGGAUACAACAAAAAACAGUUUCCAUAAUCUCUUCCCCAUGGCUAUGGCCUGACCCAAAGAUAGACAGAUCCUCCACCCCAUUACAAAUGGAAUUUAAACUCCCCUUCUUGGCUUCCUGAUCCUUUCUUUCCACCCCUGCUAGGCAAAGCAUACUCUAUUUGCAGAACUAUGGGAGAGGAUUUAGGGAUGACAGAGGGGGUGAGGUGGGGUCCAAUAAGAGGUGAAGCUGAAUUCCAUUUUAAAUCCUUUUUUUACUACUUAAAGCAUCAGUACUUUUUUAAGUAUAAAUUACACACUAAUUUAAAAAUUCAUUUAAAAAGAGAUCACCUUCCAAAAGAGGAGACACCUUUUUUACUUCCUGUUUUCACCCACAAAAGAGGGUCUCAGAGCUUGUGGCCAGAAAAGGAGUGAAAAUUUCAUCAGAACAAUUUCAUUUCUUGUCACUUGGCCACAGCUAAUUCUCAGUUUUACAUUCUUUUCUUUUUUCUCUGGUCACAAUCCUGACAUUCAUCCCUACUCACCAUACCCAAAUUCCUUCCGCAUUUCAAAAUAGGAGGGAAAAAAAUUCAGGGGGAAAUGCCCCUCUUAUUUUUAGAUGCAAAAAGCUGAUACAUUUUAACUUGAAAACAAACUAGCCAAAACCUUCAGCAUGUGGCUUUUGCACGCAGGAGGGAAUCAGGGUAAAAUGAAGCAUCCGAAAUUCUGAGGUUCUCAGCCUCAGAGAACCACCUGGAGAUUUAAAGUACUAGGAAUCCCCAGGGUCCUGCCCAAAAUGCUGUGGAUUUAAUUGAUAUGGGAUACAAUUUCUUUAAAAGCUCUGCAUGGGGUGGGGGAGAGGACGCCUGGGUGCUCAGUCAGUUAAGCAUUCAACUUCUGGCUCAGGUCUUGAUCUUGCAGUUCCUGGGUUCGAGGCCACAUCAAUUCUGUCCUUACAGCUCAGAGCCUAAAACCCACUUCGGAUUCUGUGUCUCCCUCUCUAUCUGACCCUCUUCCAUUCACACUCUCUCUCUCAAAAAUAAGUAAACAUUAAAAAUGUAAAAUAUCUUAAUUAAAAUUUUUAAAUAAAAAUAAAUAAAAGCUUUGCAGGGGCAUAUAAUACAGUGGGCAGCAAGUUAAGAGCCAAUGAUGGACAUGGUACCUUGCUGCUCAAAGCCUCGUAUAGGACACAACAUGGACACAUCUGGGACUUUGUCAGAAAUAGUCUUUGGCCCCUCCCAGACCUCCUCAGUUAGAAUCUACAAUUUAACCAGUUAACCCCAGGUGAUUUGUGUCCAUAUGCACAUUAAAAUUGGAGAAGCUCUACCUAGAGCUCAUACCAAUCACACUGACCCAAUCUGUAAGGAGGUAAAGUACUCAGGAAAUAGAGCUUGUGAGAUUAGGAGUCUGACCAGAGGAGGCAUUGCUACAGGCUCCAUGCUGUGGCUCUCAGAGAAAUCGGGUGCUGGCAGAAGUGGGCUGAGCUUCAAACACUGUGCAGGAUCUCAAAACAGAGCUGUUCUCCCAGUGGCUGCUGCCAGCUUUGCAUUGCCGGUGGGGCCACUCUGAUGGAUCUGUUCCACCACAUCAGUCUGGGUGUCAUCUGUGCUGACUGCCUAGUCAUGUUGUAAAACAUCCAGUAAGCACACCCCAAACACAGAGAACCUUCUCAAGCUCCUCUAUGAUGGGAACAUUUCAUUCUCAAACAGACAAAACUCAAAACUCAUUCCAUGGGUGGUUGUAAAUAUUCAAUCUGCCCGCGCCCCCCACCUGGUACCACCUGCCUCCUGGAGUCAAGUUUUCUAAGAUUAUUAUUUCAAAAGGAAAGUAAUAGAGAAAUUAGGCAUUGACAAGUGGUAAGUUGUUCCCAUUUUCUUUUUUAGUUAUGUUGGAUAUGUCGACUGAAAGAAAGCCAACCUCAAAGUAGGUUAAUAAAUGCUUUAUUCGUUGUUUUACUGAAGCCUAUAGCCUGGGAAACGGUCUUUCAGAUUGCUCUGAAGAACUGUUCCAAAGCUUGUUAGCUAUGGGGGAUAUUAUAUACAAAAAAGGGAAAGGGGUAUACAUGCUUGUAAACAGCUCUCCAAACACUUGUGCUUCACAAGGUGUAAUCUACUACAGUUGUUAAGAAUUAAGGUUUACUGAUUUCCACAUAGACACGAGAAAGGCCCUUAGGUCAUCUUAGUACAUUAUAUUUCUAUCAUAUCUGGUUGUUUAAAAAUAUUGCUUGUAUAUCUCUGCUUAACUGGUUUUCUGCUUCUUCCUGUUCUUGAUUUCUCCUUGAGGUCACUCGAGAUGGUCAUAGAAGGCUGACAUCAGUCACCUACUACAGUUUCAAUGCACAGAUAUUUUCCAGUUGCCACUCCAUAUUCAUUCUUGGUCCUUCCCAACCCUGUCCCGAGAUGUGGGAGGUUGACCUUGGACUGCCCUCCAGCUUCCAGUUGGGUUAAACCAGUGCCAGGCUCUGGCAGGAGAUCAGAAGGAGAGUCAGGUCCAAAAUACUUAUUCUUCCACUUCCCUCUGUACUCGACCAUGGGUUGGCUAUGCCCCUUCACUGAAGGCCACAGCUUCUGUCAGUUAGCCUGCUCCUGAAAGUGGUUGCUAGCCCUGGAGUUCUAUACCACCAUGUCAACUUUCCUUAAGCCAUCCGCCUUUUGUAAAUCAUCUUUGAACUCUCCUCAGUUACCCUGCUUCAGCAUGCCAUCUGUUUCUCUUCCACAUCAUCACCCUUUCUCUAGUAUCAGACUCCAUUCUCUGUUGCCAUCCUUGGUGACUGGAGCAUUGAAAAGAAUCCUGGGGUGUUUCAGAUGGAUGGAGUGGAGCCUCGGCACAGAUGUACAUCCUUCCUACUGAAAGAUCAAGUGGCAACAUGCUGAAGCCUGCCACUAGAAAGCAUAUACCAGAGAUAACCAGAAUAGCUACCUGGCUCCUUGGCACAGGAGCUUGUAGCAUACCCCCCAAAGGCAGCAGAUGGCCUUUAUUACAUUGCCUACACAUCCUCCAGGUUGCUGGCACUGUAGAUAGAAGACAUUUGCUCCAACAGAGGCUGGGCAGUGGGCUGAUGUUGCUUCAGCUCUUCUUCACAUGGCCACUCCACCCCAAAACCUAUUUUCCCAGGAUUCCACAUAUUGGCAUAUGAUGCCAUUGUUCAUCCAGUAGGUGAGCCUCCCUAGAAAUCACCUAUAGGAAUGUUGAAGACACGAUGACAGGCCCAAAAUGGAGUUGCUUAUGCUAAGCCCAACUCACAAAAACCAAAUUUAAUUACAAUUUUGGCUGUCCCAGAAAUGGAUUCUUAAAUCAGUUAACGAGGAAUUUCCUGAUUAGGUUAGGUAAUCUGCCUGAUAAACCCCCAUCCCCCAUAAGGAAAGUAAUCUUGGAAUAACCAAAUUCCCCUUUUUGUCUAGUAUAACUUACCUUUUCCUGCUCCCUCCUGCCUAUAAAAUCUCUUGCCUUGUAACUUUUCAGAGCUCCUUUCUAUCUGCUAGAUUGGAUACUGUCCAGUUUAUGAAUUGCUGAAUAAAAGCCAGUAAGACCUUUAAAAUUUACUCUGUUGAGUUUUGUUCUUUUAAAGCUUAUCAAUUUUUCUUUUUUUAAAAAAGUAUUCUCAAGAGUCACAUGAUCUUCCAACUGAGCCAGCCAAGCACCCCAAAUUUUGUUCUUUAGCAGUUUUGGCAAUAAGGAUGGGAUCAAAAGGAGACCAAUAAUGGCCAUGUGGACAAUGGGAAAGGCUUUGGUGCCUGUGAACUCUUAGUUCUCCAUCUUUCUGUUUCCGAAGGCCAUGAGUCAUUUUUUUCUCAGAUCCGAGUUCUCUUUCCCUUCUGUUGGAACUCUCUAGCCUUAAUGGCUUUCCAGUCUGGGGCUAAUGGGUUAGUUUAGGCUGACAGGAGUCUCCAACAAUGCAUACUAGUCCCUAGCCCUUGGUUAGUCUAUAGUACCAUUUCUUUGGUUACUGAUGGUAUCCACAAUUGUAUGUCGUUGGUUAUUGUUGGUUUCAGCUAAUGUGCACAUAAGGUAAAGAAAUAAUAGAUCUAUUGUUAUGGGAAUCCUAGAAGCCAAAACUGUAAAUUUGGUGGGUGUAGGUUGAACACUUAGCACACCUGUCACCUAACUCUGAGACUCCUGUGCUGGUCACUGAAUGGCUUAGAUUGACAUUAGGGCAUCUGUCAAUCUCAAGGAAACGUGUGUUUUACAAGUUACCACCAUAAAAUUCCCAGCCCAUCCAAAUUAGGUAUUCAUUUGGCUUUAAGAGAUUCGGGGCUUAACUAAAGAGAUGGCUCCUCAAAUUCUGAAGAGUUGAGUGCUCUACCUUCCAGCACACCUGCUUACUUUGCUUCUAAGAACUGUGGUCCCGAAAGCUAUAGAUUUCUACAAAAAUGGCAAAAUCUUACUAAAGACAACCUAGAAUUGUAAUGGCCAUUAUGGAGAACAUUCCAGUUAGGUCAUUCUUUUAAGAAGAGCACUUGAAAGCAAGGGUUCCCAAAUCAAACAGAAUGGAAUACCUAUGUUGAUUGGUAUGUAGAAGCCUCCAGAAGGCUUCCAGAUGUAAAAAUAGCUUCAUUGCAAAAGGCUAAUAAAAAUUAAAGACACAAGAGGUCCCUGAAACCAAAGACUGUAAGACUGAUGUGACUUGUACCUGAGUACUCGCAAUCUACUAAUCCUCUAUUUGAAUUGCUGUUCCACUUUGAAGAGACUAUGAGUUAUCUUUUAAAAUAAGAUCACCAACAUGGUAUCGAGGCCUGCGUUGGGCUCCACACUGUGAGUGGAGCCUGCUUGGGAUUCUCUCUCUCCCUCUCCCUGGUGCCCCUCCCCACCUCAAAAAUAAAAUUUAGACCACUGAGCCAACUGGUGAUCAUUUUCAGUUCUCUCCUCUCCUUGGUCGAAGACUGAACUAAAGGCCCUAAAGAAUUUCCUAAACCCAGAUAGGAUCCCCUAAAGUUUUCUGAAGAAUUUAGAGUUCUCAUUAGGGCCUAUGAUCCUGGACUUCCAGAUUUUUACCAGUUUGUGCAUACAGUGAAGCUCAGAAAAGGAGACAGGAAGCAGAAUGACAUAACCCCAAGAAUGAUAUUCAAGAUUCUCAGUCUGCAACGUGGUCUCCUUAUGGAUCAGAAAACGCUUGCAAAAUAUGGCAGCAGAUAUUUUAAAAGCCAUUCCUUGCAUCUUCCCUGCCUGCACUGAUUGGUCUAUUAUCAAACCUGUGAACCAAAGAAAGCUGAAUCUGAGGCAGACUAAAGCAUUUCUGAACUCUCUUCCUAUAGCAUUCUGGUUUCUAUAUAAUGGAUGAUACUACCCAACCUGCUCCAGCUGCCUUAUGUGUAGAUGUAAUACCUCCUAGGAUUAGUGGAUUGAUUACAAGGCAGAAAAUAGGAUGGGAAGCCACAGGUCUGAGUGAACUUGUGACCAUAGCUGAGCACUUUGAAAGGAUCUUGGAAUGGACUGUUAACAAAGGUCUGCUAAGUUAGUGUCCUUACAAUUUUAAUAGGUGUAAGGCCAGAAACCUAAAACAAUACCUGGGCUUCUCCUAUUGCACCCUCCUAGGGGUCCAUCAUCAAAACACCCAGACAUGUUGUCUCAUUUAUAAUUAACUGGGACACUGGAAAAAGAUUGCCCCCAAAGGUUUUGUGCAAAUCCUUCAAAGAACUCAAAUGCCCCUAUAUCUGCUUUUGAAGAAGGGCCCUAUAUGGGCCCCUCCCAGAGGUGACAGGACUUCGAAGGAUUCUCCAGUAAACUGCUGCUAGUUAUUUUCAUAAACAGCCAAGGGGAAACUAAAAUUAAAAUCAAUAGAAAACCUUGCCAAAUUCUGAUACCAGAGCUGCACUCUGCUUGAAACCUGAUCUCUCAUAGGCCAACAAAUCCCUCAGAGUAAAAAUAAAUAAAUAAAUAAAUAAAUAAAUAAAUAAAUAAAAUAAAUAAAUAUUAAAUUAAAUUAAGUUAAAAAGAAGAAAGAAAGAUAUAAAACAACAACAAUGACAAAAAUCUCCAUAGAUGGGUAUCCAAUUAAAUUCAGGGAGAGUUUUUAUCUCAACUAGUACAAAUGACUAAGAACUUUCACUGAAAUCAUUCCUUUUUGCUAUGAUACAGCUCCCAUCAGUCUAUAAAAUAGAGAUCUCUUUUGCCCCUAAUAUAGAGCUUACCUUAGAAUAUCCUGACUAACCUGAAGCUGAUGUUUUAAUGUUCCUUACAAUCCAGGCUUAAUAAGCAGGGGGAGAAUUUCCAGCAAAAGAUCCCUAAUUUAAUCGAGGUGUCCAAAUAUCUGUGGGAGACCUCUAAUACUGACAUUGGGAGAAUAAAAAAAACAGAAUCUAUAAAAAUUCAGAGAGACUUAACGAAAACUAUUCCCAAGUUAUCUCCAUAUCUGUUAAAAUCUGAAGCCAUACAAGACCUCACGCUAAUAGAAGACCUAAUUGCCCAGGGCCUAAUCAUUCCCUGCCCCAGCCCCUGUAACAUAUCAACUUUGCCAGUCCAGAAAUAUUGUAGGUAGGGAUAGAGAUUUGUCUAAGACUGGAGAGCUAUUAAACAAGAUAGUUAUUCCCAGAGCACCUAGCUUGCUUAGUUGGUAGAGCAUACAAAUCUUUUUUUUUAAGUUUAUUUAUUUACUUUGAGAGAGACAGAGAGACAGAGAGAGAAAGAGAGAGAGAGUAGGGGAGGGGCAGAAAGAGACUGACAGAGAGAGAGAGAGAGAGAGAAUCCUAAGCGCUGACAGUGCGGAGCCCGAUGCAGGGCUCAAACUCAUGAACAAUGAGAUCAUCACCUGAGCCAAAAUCAAGAGUCAGAUGCUUAACUGACUGAGCCACCCAGGCACCCCAAGUAGAACAUACAACUCUUGAUCUCAGGGUCACAAAUUCAAGCCCCAUGUUGAGUGCAGAACUUUAUUUAGGGGAAAAAAUAUAUAGAGUUAUUCCCCUUUCCCAGUUGUUCCAAACCCUAACACCCUGUUGUCACAAGUCCUACUGUAAAGGUUAAAUUGUACUGUAAGGCUAACCUGUAGCCUUGAGAAAUAACAGCUUUGUUUUGACACUGUAGGUUAAGAGAUAACAGGCCUGUCCUAUCAAUCAAGGGAACAAAAGUUCAAGGGAAAUCAACUGGAUUGGUGUUUGGAUUGGGGCAAGGGCAUGUUGAGAACUUUGAAAAAGUGGGCCAGAGGCAGGGUCAAGGAGGUCAACUGGUUGCGGCUUAACCACAGAAGGUCUGAACUGCUUCCACCCCCAACUGGGAACUAUUUCUUUGUUCUGUUCCCAGGUGAUGAUAAGAUGAUGUGGUCGGCUAUAAAAACUCUGUACCCCGGCUGCUCAAGGCCGCACUCUGAUCAAGAGUGUCAGUCCCGAUGGGUCGGCCUUGCCUCUCAAUUGCAAUAAACUGUGUUGUGACUGUCACUGGUGCCCGUAGCAUUCUGUUUCAGGAGUCAUGUGGAUGCAACACUACCAGAUGUAAAAUGAUUCACUGUUGUAGACCUAUGUUCAACCUUCUUCAGCAUUUCUGUAGACCUCAGCUACCAAUACUUGUUUGCUUUUAUUUAGAAUAAUCAGUAAUAUACCUGGACAGUGGUGCCUCAAGGGUUCACUGAGGCCCCUUAUUUCUCCCAAGUGGCCCAUCAAGAUUUAAGUCUCUUUCAGUUCCCUGGGAAAUCAACCCUUCUACAGUAUGUAGACUAUCUCCUGUAAUGCUCAGUUACCAAAGAAGCAUCUGUAUAAGAUUCCAUUUAUCUGCUGCAACAGUUAGCUGAGAAAGAACAGGAAGUCUGUACGGAGAAAUGACUUGAUUUACCUAGUCAUAAUUAAGUGCUGUAGGAAUCCAAUUGUCUCCAAAGAUAAUUUUAAGCUUAUUCAAGCAUUCUCUAGGCCCAUGAUCGGCAGUAGCUUUCUGGAUUUCUACCCCUGGCUGGAUAUCAUAGACUCUGGGUUCCUGAUUUUUCUCUAUCAACUUCUCCACUCUAUGACCUGAAAAUGCGGUGAGCAGACCAUUAUAAGAUUUACAAAAGCACUAUAAGAACUCCUGCCCUAGGGCUAUCUAACUAUUCAACGGCCUUCACCUUUUUUGUGCAGUAGAGAGAUAAUCAAGCCCUGUGAAUGCUCACACAAGAGCGUGCUGAUAAGAAUAGGCCUAUUGCCUAUUAUAUCAUACAACUUGAUUCACUUGCUCGUGCCCAUCCCAAUUGCCUUAAGGCCUUACUGAAGCUGCAAAGUUAGUAAAUAUUUCCAUGGAUUUAGUCCUAGGAAAUAAUGUUUAGUUCGCAAGCUCCACAUGCCGUCCUAAGUCUUCUUAAUUCUGAAUUGACUCAUCAUUUCUCUGCAUGCAGACCAACCUCCUAUGAGAUCCUUCUGCUCUCACUACUAACAUACAGAGUCCUCAGACCUUCUUCCUCUGAACCAUCUGAGCACCUUCAUUCAAAUGCCACCCGGUAUGGAUUAUUAAUAUAUUCUUAUUGUAUAUAUAAUUUCUGGAUGGAUUGAAGCCUUCCCUUGCCGAAAGGAUGACACCCUCACACUCACAGUGGCAAAACAAACCGUUGGCAAAUGCAGUUCCUACCUGGAGUUUACCCUUCACACUAUCUAGUGACUGAGGCACCCACUUCACUUUGAAGAUCAGAUGAGCUGUAACUAAAGCUUUGCAAACUUCUUGGAACUGUCACUGCUGCUAUCACUCUCAGUCAUCAGGCAAGGUUGAAAGAACAAAUGGAAUCACCAAUCUCAAAAAUUUCCAAACUCACUGAAACUGCUGGACUCCCUUGGCCUGAGGUGUUGCCUCUGGCCUUGCUGACUUUUGCAGUACCCUCUUUGUGAGAUAGUCACCAGUAGACCAAUGUC